rnacentral:rRNA from 1 species
AGCGAACGUUAGCGGCGGGCUUAACACAUGCAAGUCGAGCGAGAGAGUGACUUCGGUCAUGAGUAAAGCGGCAGACGGGUGAGGAACACGUAGGUAAUUUUCCGUUUAGUGGGGGACAACGGUCCGAAAGGACCGCUAAUACCGCAUACGUUCCUUGGGGCUUUGGCCCUGGGGAGGAAAGCUGGGCAACUGGCGCUAAAUGAGAAGCCUGCGUCGCAUCAGCUAGUUGGUGGGGUAAUGGCCUACCAAGGCGAAGACGCGUAGCUGGUCUGAGAGGAUGAUCAGCCACACUGGAACUGAGACACGGUCCAGACUCCUACGGGAGGCAGCAGUGGGGAAUAUUGGACAAUGGGCGCAAGCCUGAUCCAGCCACGCCGCGUGAGUGAUGAAGGCCUUCGGGUCGUAAAGCUCUGUGGGGAGAGACGAACCGACUGGGGUAACCCGUUCAGCAUGACGGUAUCUCCUUAGCAAGCACCGGCUAACUUCGUGCCAGCAGCCG